GAUGAACGCUGGCGGCGUGCUUAACACAUGCAAGUCGAGCGAUGAAGUUUCCUUCGGGAAACGGAUUAGCGGCGGACGGGUGAGUAACACGUGGGUAACCUGCCUCAUAGAGUGGAAUAGCCUUCCGAAAGGAAGAUUAAUACCGCAUAAUGUUGAAAGAUGGCAUCAUCAUUUAACCAAAGGAGCAAUCCGCUAUGAGAUGGACCCGCGGCGCAUUAGCUAGUUGGUGGGGUAACGGCCUACCAAGGCGACGAUGCGUAGCCGACCUGAGAGGGUGAUCGGCCACAUUGGGACUGAGACACGGCCCAGACUCCUACGGGAGGCAGCAGUGGGGAAUAUUGCACAAUGGGGGAAACCCUGAUGCAGCAACGCCGCGUGAGUGAUGAAGGUUUUCGGAUCGUAAAGCUCUG
rnacentral:rRNA from 1 species